GUUGCUGCAAAACGAUGUCGUGACCCUAGUGAACCCAUCUAGGGCCAUAAUAGCUAGAACCAGGAUGCCAAACCGCCCUGCCCACACGACCAGCAACCCUACGAUGGUGCUAUCACUCAGGCAAGCGAUUUCCGCAGUUAAGGGGACAUGCAAACCACGAUUCUCGGCGCUAUGCAUUAGGGAACAGUAAGCGGGCAGCAAGGUUGUUUCUCACCAGAGUUGAGGUUGUGAUAAGGCCGAGCUGAAUCUCGGUGCGGCAGGUUCACAGCGUAGAUUUGCUCUGAUGAGCAAUAUGCCGCGAGCGGGGUGACACCGGCCUCAGAAGGUCCCCGAGCUGGCUUUUACGGAUCCACAGGGCACACUGCGAUGCUUCAACGAAAUGAAUUUGUCGGUGAACCCGGGAGACUCGCUUAGACGCCUUGCUCUCACACGGCGGCGUCUUCAAUCUCUCCCUCGCAGAUUUGGGCAAUGGCUAUUGGUGUGCGGCGAAGGAAAAGGGAAGGCAGGGCUUCGGCGCAACCUUUUAUGGCUGCCAGAGGUCGGUUAGGAGGUUGGCUGUGUUUGGCCAGCUGGGAUCUCACUGGCGGCAAGGUUCUCGGGGUCGGUCGACGCAAGAGUAAGAUCCACGAGGCGUGGGCUGACUAGUGAGGUCACGGGACAAUAAUGGAGGGGCGCGUGCGGGUGCGGGUGUGGGUGGCUAGUGAGCGGGCCCAGCUUGCCAGUGACAGGCAACCACACGAGUGUGUGGAUGAGGG
rnacentral:lncRNA from 1 species